rnacentral:rRNA from 1 species
CCUACGGGUGGCAGCAGUCGAGAAUCAUUCACAAUGGGGGAAACCCUGAUGGUGCGACGCCGCGUGGGGGAAUGAAGGUCUUCGGAUUGUACACCCCUGUCAUGUGGGAGCAAAUUAAAAAGAUAGUACCACAAGAAGAAGAGACGACUAACUCUGUGCCAGCCGCCGCGGUAAUACAUAGGUCUCACGCGUUUUUCGGAAGCACUGGGCGUAAAGCGUGCGUAGGCUGUUUCGUAAGUCGUGUGUGAAAGGCGCGGGCUCAAGACGCGGACGGCACAUGAUACUGCGAGACGAGAGUAAGGGAGGGGGAACCGGAAUUCUAGGUGUAGGAGUGAAAUGCGUAGAUAUCGAGAGGAACACUCGUGGCGAAGGCGGGUUCCUGGACAUUAACUGACGCUGAGGCACGAAGGCCAGGGGAGCGAAAGGGAUUAGAUACCCGGGUAGUC